rnacentral:rRNA from 1 species
UACGAAGGGGGCUAGCGUUGCUCGGAAUUACUGGGCGUAAAGGGUGCGUAGGCGGCUUGGUAAGUUGGGUGUGAAAGCCCCGGGCUCAGCCCGGGAAGGGCACUCGAAACUGCCGAGCUGGAGUGCCGGAGGGGAGAGUGGAAUUCCUGGUGUAGCGGUGAAAUGCGUAGAUAUCAGGAGGAAUACCGGUGGCGAAAGCGACUCUCUGGACGGCAACUGACGCUGAGGCACGAAAGCGUGGGGAGCAAACAGG